UUUUUUUUCUUUUUCUUUUUUCAUUUCCCAGAUACAGCUGAUCGAGUUCGCCGAGUGGCCGAGCGAGUGAGCGCUCCUCCGACUUGGGUGGAGGAAGAUGGCAAGCAUCUCCUAAAGAAACCGCUGGUCAGACCAAUGAAACCACAGGACAAAGAGUUCUCUUCAAAAGGGAACAACAAGAAGGAGAGAGAGAGAAAAAAAAGACAACAUUCCUAGUGAUCUUUCCGUGGGACUGCGGCAAGGAGGCAGCAGGCACAGUGAAACUGGGCGGCGAUGGAUACUCCCAGCACUUGCUGAGCACUGCUACGCCUCAGGACUGGGACAGAGAGAACCAUUCUCUGCUUUCAAUAGGACAGAAGAGCUCCUUGGCACUGGAUGCCUCCGGGUCUGGUUGAGAGAGGAAUGGUUAGGAGACUGUUCUGAGGAUACGCAGACAUCAUCCAAAGCUUCCUACAUUCAGAUGAGGACAGAGGUUGGGCCAGAGCUUUGUAUGCUUGUUACCUAAGGAUGGUUCUGACCAUGUAAGCAGAUCACAGAAGCACUGUUCACAAUAGCAAAGACUUGGAACCAAUCCAAAUGCCCAUCAAUGAAAACCUGGAUAAAGAAAAUGUGGCACAUACACAGCAUGGAAUACUAUGCAGCCAUAAAUAAGGAUGAAUUCAUGUCCUUUGCAGGGACAUGGAUGAAGUUGGAAACAUCAUUCUCAGCAAACUAACCUGGAGGCAAAGGAUGCCAAGAUGGGAAAGCCACAUAAUGGAAGGAUCCUGGAUUUCAGAGCUGUCACUUGGAGGAGGGGCACCCAGUGAAGGUGUCUUAUCUAACCCACACCAUAUCUUCAUGAAGUGGCCAUAUGGAUUUGAUCCCUAUCCUUCAGAGGUGCUCAGCCUAAGGGAACACGGAUAGUAGAUUAAGCACUGACCAGAGCCAGCCUUGACAAUGUGCUGUUGGCAACCU
rnacentral:antisense_RNA from 1 species